CUUGGACUCCUCUCAAUCCAGGAAGAAGAUUUGCAGGCUGUCAAAACUGGGAUGUAAGAAAAUAUUUCAUAUUCAUUGCAAUCAUCAUUUACAAAUAGUAUUUGUAACUAUAUAAAUAUACUUAUUAAUUUCUUAUCAGAACUCAAGUGGUUGCAAGUACUUUCAGUGGUUGGAUCCUGAGAUUUGUCCAAAGGGGCUGGAGAUUGGGCAAGGCUUGUUGAAAUUUUUGGAUGAGAAGAAUGAACAGAUAAAGUCAAUGGAGGCUGCUAAUGAAAAGCUGCAAUUGUACAAUGAGGAACUUCAUGAAAUUAUUCUAAACAUGACAAGAGCAAACAAGCACUUGGAAGAAAAAGUCCAAACACUAGAAUGUGCAGUUUCUAAGAAAAAUAAGAUAGGGAGAUAUGUGAAGAUAUUCUCAAUGUUUAGCAUCUUCAUAUUCCUAUGCAAAUUGAUUGCAAAGAACUCAGAAUAUCAUAAGGGAAACUCAUUGUAUCUACAAUAAGACUAUUUCCAAUGAAAUUAGCAAGAUAAUAAAUGUCAUUUCAUACUUGAAUAGAAAGGCUAAACAGCCAUACCAAAAUACCAUGUCUGUUCUAAAUAGCAAAAUACCAAAAUCCCAAAAUAUAAAGGCUUCACAACCACCAAAAUGUAAAUGCUAAUACACAGCCAUGCCAAAGUAUCAAAAUACUAGUUUGCAGGCUUCCAAAUAUCAAAUUAACAACCUAACAUAAGAAGCAACUUGUUCAAUUAAUACCAUACUUAGUUUCAUGUUUCUCCAUUAUCAGAAGUGGCAGCAAAUCUGUUUGAUCUUGGCUGGCUGGAGAAGAACACACUGCCAAAUCUAGUAUUGUGCACUUGCAUCUACAUUUAUUGAGAAAAAAAUGAACCAUUAAUUCUCUGUAUAAUAAAAGAUCAGUUAUAUUUUAAUAAAUUAGUUACCUGUAUAUUUCCCCCAUCUGAAAAAUUGUUUACUUGAACUUGAGACCCAUUAUUUGCACCACUCUGGCUUGCACCACUCUGCCACCAUAGCAUUUAAAUGAGUAAUAUUUUAUUCAAAAUUGAAAAUACAGAUUAUUUAUGAUGAGAGAAAAAUACCUGCAUAGGAGGUCUGAACAUUCCCAACCCAUUCCAAUUACCAAUUCCAGCAUGGGGACCACCUUUUUUGCCAGGUUU
rnacentral:lncRNA from 1 species